rnacentral:rRNA from 1 species
CAGCAGCCGCCGUAAUACGUAGGGUGCGAGCGUUAACCGGAAUUACUGGGCGUAAAGCGUGCGCAGGCGGUCAUAUAAGACAGAUGUGAAAUCCCCGGGCUUAACCUGGGAACUGCAUUUGUGACUGGCGAGCUAGAGUAUGGCAGAGGGGGGUAGAAUUCCACGUGUAGCAGUGAAACGCGUAGAGAUGUGGAGGAAUACCGAUGGCGAAGGCAGCCCCCUGGGCCAAUACUGACGCUCAUGCACGAAAGCGUGGGGAGCAAACAGGAUUAGAUACCCCGGUAGUCCCUGUCUCUUAUAC